ensembl:snoRNA Snord35a small nucleolar RNA SNORD35
GGCAUGUGAUGUUUUUAUUCUCACGAUGGUCUUCAGAUGCCACAGUUUGGGCAGUGUUGAUAAUGCCAAAGGCUAAGCUGAUGCCAGGAG